UCCCUGGUAGUAUAUCGGUCAGUACACGCGCCUGUCAUUAGAGGUUUAGAGUGGGAAUUGCGCGCCAAAGCUGGGUUCGACUCCCAGCCAGGGAG